AUUAAGCUUAAUUUGAGAAACCAGUUAAGCUAAUAAAAUUGAGGAAAGAUGGCUUCACGUUUAUUUUAAGAAAAUUCACUCAAUUAUGUGGAUUUGAUUGAGAUGUUUGCAUUUGAAUCUCAACAACGGCAGUGAUCAGACGACAUUUUGAAGGAGCAGAUCAACAGCGAGCAUGUUAAGAGUUUAAUGAAGAAAACUUUCGCAGUGUUUUCCCACUAAAGAGGAGCAGUUUAUUGAGGCAGAUUUUGAUAAAGAGAAUGGGUGCCAUACAUCAGACCUCACAUUAAAUCAGGGAUGAAACGAGAGAUGUCGUCCUCUGUUGCUGGUCUAUCUGUAUGAAUAAGAGGAAGAGCUCAUCCAGGAGUGCAAUUGUGGGAAUGCACAGAGAAUUGCUGUCUGUCAGAGGGAUGACCAACCAUGAGGACUUCUGCAUUGUCUUGGAGGAUAAGUGAGUCAUGGCUAGCCUGGAAAAUCUAGAAUCGCUGAACUGGAUUUAUACAAAUAUUCCACAAAUUAAAAUCACUUACAAAGAAAUGAAUAUUAAGUUUGCAAUACACAAAUUCUGUCAAAUAUUGUCUAAAAUGUGACUAUUCCUACAAAGGAAAGUUGACAGGUCAGUUUUUUCCAUGACAUGGAUAAAGGAAUUUUUAUCAGAGAUUAGCAUUGCUGUAAAUUUUAUAUAG